UACGUAGGGUGCAAGCGUUGUCCGAAAUUAUUGGGCGUAAAGAGCUCGUAGGCGGUUUGUCGCGUCUGCUGUGAAAACUCGGGGCUUAACUCCGGGCCUGCAGUGGGUACGGGCAGACUAGAGUGCGGUAGGGGAGACUGGAAUUCCUGGUGUAGCGGUGAAAUGCGCAGAUAUCUGGAGGAACACCGGUGGCGAAGGCGGCAUCCUGGACCAAUACUGACGCUGAGGAGCGAAAGCCAGGGGAGCAAACGGG
rnacentral:rRNA from 1 species